rnacentral:rRNA from 1 species
UACGUAGGGGCUAGCGUUAUCCGGAAUUACUGGGCGUAAAGGGUGCGUAGGUGGUUUCUUAAGUCAGAGGUGAAAGGCUACGGCUCAACCGUAGUAAGCCUUUGAAACUGGGAAACUUGAGUGCAGGAGAGGAGAGUGGAAUUCCUAGUGUAGCGGUGAAAUGCGUAGAUAUUAGGAGGAACACCAGUUGCGAAGGCGGCUCUCUUGACUGUAACUGACACUGAGGCACGAAAGCGUGGGGAGCAAACAGGAUUAGAUACCCCGGUAGUCCCUGAGCGGGCU